CCUACGGGAGGCAGCAGUGGGGAAUUUUCCGCAAUGGGCGAAAGCCUGACGGAGCAAUACCGCGUGAGGGAGGAAGGCUCUUGGGUUGUAAACCUCUUUUCUCAGGGAAGAUAAUGACGGUACCUGAGGAAUAAGCAUCGGCUAACUCCGUGCCAGCAGCCGCGGUAAUACGGAGGAUGCAAGCGUUAUCCGGAAUGAUUGGGCGUAAAGCGUCCGCAGGUGGUUUUGAAAGUCUGCUGUUAAAGCGUGCGGCUUAACCGCAUAAGGGCAGUGGAAACUAUGAGACUAGAGUGCGUUAGGGGCAGAGGGAAUUCCCAGUGUAGCGGUGAAAUGCGUAGAGAUUGGGAAGAACACCGGUGGCGAAGGCGCUCUGCUAUACCGUAACUGACACUGAGGGACGAAAGCUAGGGGAGCGAAUGGGAUUAGAUACCCCAGUAGUCCUAGCCGUAAACGAUGGAUACUAGGCGUUGUCUGUAUCGACCCGGACAGUGCCGUAGCUAACGCGUUAAGUAUCCCGCCUGGGGAGUACGCNGCGACUGUGAAACGUUAAAGGUAAAGUUAGACGGCGUGUAGACGUUGCCGAACGGACGACGACGAGGGGAGGUUAGG
rnacentral:rRNA from 1 species